UGGGGAAUUUUUGGACAAUGGGCGAAAGCCUGAUCCAGCAAUGCCGCGUGUGUGAAGAAGGCCUUCGGGUUGUAAAGCACUUUUGUCCGGAAAGAAAUCCUUGGCUCUAAUACAGUCGGGGGAUGACGGUACCGGAAGAAUAAGCACCGGCUAACUACGUGCCAGCAGCCGCGGUAAUACGUAGGGUGCAAGCGUUAAUCGGAAUUACUGGGCGUAAAGCGUGCGCAGGCGGUUUGCUAAGACCGAUGUGAAAUCCCCGGGCUCAACCUGGGAACUGCAUUGGUGACUGGCAGGCUAGAGUAUGGCAGAGGGGGGUUAGAAUUCCACGUGUAGCAGUGAAAUGCGUAGAGAUGUGGAGGAAUACCGAUGGCGAAGGCAGCCCCCUGGGCCAAUACUGACGCUCAUGCACGAAAGCGUGGGGAGCAAACAGGAUUAGAUACCCUGGUAGUCCACGCCCUAAACGAUGUCAACUAGUUGUUGGGGAUUCAUUUCCUUAGUAACGUAGCUAACGCGUGAAGUUGACCGCCUGGGGAGUACGGUCGCAAGAUUAAAACUCAAAUGAAUUGACGGGGUCAUAGCUGUUUCCU
rnacentral:rRNA from 1 species